rnacentral:rRNA from 1 species
AGAGUUUGAUCAUGGCUCAGGAUGAACGCUAGCGGCAGGCUUAACACAUGCAAGUCGAGGGGCAGCGGGGGUAGCAAUACUCGCCGGCGACCGGCAAACGGGUGCGGAACACGUACGCAACAUACCCUGGUCUGGGGCAUAGCCUUCUGAAAAGGAGAUUAACACCCCAUAAGAUAAUAGCGUGGCAUCACGCAGUUAUAAAAAAUUUAUUGGAUCAGGAUUGGCGUGCGUCCUAUUAGCUAGUUGGUACGGGUAACGGCCUACCAAGGCGACGAUAGGUAGCUGGUGUGAGAGCACGACCAGCCACACGGGCACUGAGACACGGGCCCGACUCCUACGGGAGGCAGCAGUGAGGAAUAUUGGUCAAUGGACGCAAGUCUGAACCAGCCAUGCCGCGUGAAGGAUGAAGGCGUUCUGCGUUGUAAACUUCUCUUAUUGGGGAAGAAACCUGAAUUUUCUAAUUCAGCCGACGGUACCCAAGGAAUAAGCACCGGCUAACUCCGUGCCAGCAGCCGCGGUAAUACGGAGGGUGCAAGCGUUAUCCGGAUUUACUGGGUUUAAAGGGUGUGUAGGCGGACUUUUAAGUCAGCGGUGAAAUCUCCGGGCUCAACCCGGAAACUGCCAUUGAUACUAUUGGUCUUGAAUGUUGUUGAGGUGGGCGGAACGGGUCUGUAGCGGUGAAAUGCAUAGAUAUGACCCGGAACACCGAUUGCGAAGGCAGCCCACUAAGCAAUGAUUGACGCUGAGGCACGAAAGCGUGGGGAUCAAACAGGAUUAGAUACCCUAGUAGUCC